AUUGAACGCUGGCGGCAGGCCUAACACAUGCAAGUCGAGCGGAUGACGGGAGCUUGCUCCUUGAUUCAGCGGCGGACGGGUGCGUAAUGCCUAGGAAUCUGCCUGGUAGUGGGGGACAGCGUUUCGAAAGGAACGCUAAUACCGCAUACGUCCUACGGGAGAAAGCAGGGGACCUUCGGGCCUUGCGCUAUCAGAUGAGCCUAGGUCGGAUUAGCUAGUAGGUGAGGUAAUGGCUCACCUAGGCGACGAUCCGUAACUGGUCUGAGAGGAUGAUCAGUCACACUGGAACGGAGACACGGUCCAGACUCCUACGGGAGGCAGCAGUGGGGAAUAUUGGACAAUGGGCGAAAGCCUGAUCCAGCCAUGCCGCGUGUGUGAAGAAGGUCUUCGGAUUGUAAAGCACUUUAAGUUGGGAGGAAGGGCAGUAAGCGAAUACCUUGCUGUUUUGACGUUACCGACAGAAUAAGCACCGGCUAACUCUGUGCCAGCCGCCGCUGUAAAAC
rnacentral:rRNA from 1 species